GCAAGUCGAGCGGACAGAUGGGAGCUUGCUCCCUGAUGUUAGCGGCGGACGGGUGAGUAACACGUGGGUAACCUGCCUGUAAGACUGGGAUAACUCCGGGAAACCGGGGCUAAUACCGGAUGCUUGUUUGAACCGCAUGGUUCAAACAUAAAAGGUGGCUUCGGCUACCACUUACAGAUGGACCCGCGGCGCAUUAGCUAGUUGGUGAGGUAACGGCUCACCAAGGCAACGAUGCGUAGCCGACCUGAGAGGGUGAUCGGCCACACUGGGACUGAGACACGGCCCAGACUCCUACGGGAGGCAGCAGUAGGGAAUCUUCCGCAAUGGACGAAAGUCUGACGGAGCAACGCCGCGUGAGUGAUGAAGGUUUUCGGAUCGUAAAGCUCUGUUGUUAGGGAAGAACAAGUACCGUUCGAAUAGGGCGGUACCUUGACGGUACCUAACCAGAAAGCCACGGCUAACUACGUGCCAGCAGCCGCGGUAAUACGUAGGUGGCAAGCGUUGUCCGGAAUUAUUGGGCGUAAAGGGCUCGCAGGCGGUUUCUUAAGUCUGAUGUGAAAGCCCCCGGCUCAACCGGGGAGGGUCAUUGGAAACUGGGGAACUUGAGUGCAGAAGAGGAGAGUGGAAUUCCACGUGUAGCGGUGAAAUGCGUAUAGAUGUGGAGGAACACCAGUGGCGAAAGCGACUCUCUGGUCUGUAACUGACGCUGAGGAGCGAAAGCGUGGGGAG
rnacentral:rRNA from 1 species